ACAACAAUGCUUGGUGGUGGGUACGCUAACGCGGCCUUGACCAAUCAUGUCUUGAGACGAUUGAACCCAAAGCCGCCCGGAGAACCUGAGGCGGCUUUUUU
rfam:Rhizobium sp. PDO1-076 strain PDO-076 ctg46, whole genome shotgun sequence.